UACGGAGGGUGCAAGCGUUAUCCGGAUUCACUGGGUUUAAAGGGUGCGUAGGAGGGCAGGUAAGUCAGUGGUGAAAUCUCUGGGCUUAACCCAGAAACUGCCGUUGAUACUAUCUGUCUUGAAUACCGUGGAGGUGAGCGGAAUAUGUCAUGUAGCGGUGAAAUGCUUAGAUAUGACAUAGAACACCAAUUGCGAAGGCAGCUCGCUACACGAAUAUUGACUCUGAGGCACGAAAAGCGUGGGGAUCAAACAGG
rnacentral:rRNA from 1 species